CAUUGCAACAAGGUCAUUUCCCACAUGACCCGUGAAAGGAAGAAAGAACAAUUCCACUUGGUGAGCUCAAUAGGUCCUAGAACUUCCAUUAUCUCAAAGGGUAUUUACCAGCCAUUGUUUCCUUCCUCUCCCCUCCAGCCCCUCUCCCUUUUCCUCUUCAUUCCAUACAGAGCUACUUCUUCCUCUGGCUGCAGAGAGCUGCAGGUAGGAAUGUCUCUGGCUCAGUUACUCAGUUACUAGAGCACCAGCCAGAGCCUGACUUCUUCCAGCAGGGGUCUGAGGAGCCUGAUGAUGAAGUGAAACUUCCCUUUUACCCACUGAUUGGAGGGUUAUUUAGCAGCUGGGAGCCGAACAAAAAUGAUCCUCAGUCAUACUUUCCAAAGGAAGCAUCUUCGAUGAUUUCUUGGAUAUCCUUCCAGAGUUUUCCCUGUAUAUGCCUGCUCUAUACACACAGAUUUCAUUAAAUUGCCUUCCCAAAAUGUGGUAUCAAUUUAUAUUCCUAGCAGAGGAUGUGAAAGCUCCUGAUUCAAAUACUGCAUCAAGCCCAUGUCUUAUCAAACUGUUAAUUCUUCACUUCUCUGUUUUUUUUUAAGUCUGUAAAUGGUAAAUUUCAUGACUUAUUUAACUUGUUUCAUUUAGGUAUUAGUCAUAGUAAUGAUCCCAUGGUUUCAGUUACCCCCAGCCAAACCUGCUUUCCAACUUUCAGUUACCAAUGAUAACUAGAAAUAUUAAAUACUGGGAAUAUUAAAUGUAAAAUUCUAGAAAUGGACAAUUUAUAAAUUUUAAAUAAAUCAUAUAAUUGUUCUA